rnacentral:rRNA from 1 species
GACGUAGGGCGCGAGCGUUGUCCGGAUUUAUUGGGCGUAAAGAGCUCGUAGGCGGCUCGUUGCGUCAACCGUGAAAACCCGGGGCUUAACUUCGGGCUUGCGGUUGAUACGGGCGGGCUGGAGUUCGGUAGGGGAGACUGGAAUUCCUGGUGUAGCGGUGAAAUGCGCAGAUAUCAGGAGGAACACCGGUGGCGAAGGCGGGUCUCUAGGCCGACACUGACGCUGAGGAGCGAAAGCGUGGGGAGCGAACAGG